rnacentral:pre_miRNA from 14 species
CCAAAAGAAGAACAGCUCCCUCCCAACCCUACAUACUUCUUCAUAUGCCCAUAUGGAGUCGGCUGGUAUUAUGGAAUGUUAAGAAGUAUGUAUCUUUGGGCUGGGACCCCCGUGCCCACGGAG